rnacentral:rRNA from 1 species
CCUACGGGGGGCAGCAGUGGGGAAUAUUGGACAAUGGGGGCAACCCUGAUCCAGCCAUGCCGCGUGUGUGAAGAAGGCCCUCGGGUUGUAAAGCACUUUCAGUGAGGAAGAACGCCUGGUGGUUAAUACCCAUCAGGAAAGACAUCACUCACAGAAGAAGCACCGGCUAACUCCGUGCCAGCAGCCGCGGUAAUACGGAGGGUGCGAGCGUUAAUCGGAAUUACUGGGCGUAAAGCGCGCGUAGGUGGCUUGAUAAGCCGGUUGUGAAAGCCCUGGGCUCAACCUGGGAACGGCAUCCGGAACUGUCAAGCUAGAGUGCAGGAGAGGAAGGUAGAAUUCCCGGUGUAGCGGUGAAAUGCGUAGAGAUCGGGAGGAAUACCAGUGGCGAAGGCGGCCUUCUGGACUGACACUGACACUGAGGUGCGAAAGCGUGGGUAGCAAACAGGAUUAGAUACCCCAGUAGUC